AGCGCAGACUUUGGGACGUGGAUCCGAGCCGGCGCGGUGGGUGGAGAGCAGGAGGAGGAGCCAUUCGACGGCAUGUUGCUGGCCAUGGCUCAGCAGCACGAGGGUGGCGUGCAGGAGCUCGUGAACACCUUCUUCAGCUUCCUUCGAUGCAAAACAGACUUUUUCACUGCAGGAGAAGAGGGGAUGGCAGAGAAGCUUAUCAUACAGACUUUCAGCCACGACAAUCAGCUGGCACAGAAGGCCUGGUGGGAGAAGAGAGCCCAGGAGAAGGCGGAGCGGGUCGCCAGGCUGGCUAAGGAAGCCAAGUCAGAGACCUCGGGGUCCCAGAUAAGGGCAGAGAAGCAGAGAGGCUGCAGCUAGAGAUUGACCAGAAAAAGGAUACAGAGAAUCAUGAGGCCCAGCUCAAGAAUGGCAGCCUUGACUCCCCAGGAAAGCAGGAGAAGAAGGAGGAAGAUGAGAAGGACAAAGGAAAACUGAAGCCCAACCUAGGCAACAGGGCAGACCUGCCUAAUUACCGCCGGACCCAGAGCCUGUCGGAGCUGGGCCUGGCGGUCCCUUUCCGUGUGAACUUCCAGCUGAAAGGGAAGGACAUGGUGGUGGACAUCCAGGGGCAGCACCUCCGGGUGGGGCUCAAGGGGCAGCCAGCGAUCAUCGAUGGGGAGCUCUACAAUGAAGUGAAGGUAGAGGAGAGCUCAUGGCUCAUUGAGGAUGGCAAGGUGAUGACUGUGCAUCUUGAGAAGAUCAGUAAGAUGGAGUGAUGGAGCUGCUUGGUGUCCAGUGACCCUGAGAUCAAUACCAAGAUGAUUAACCCUGAGAAUUCCAAGCUGUCAGACCUGGACAAUGAGACUCGCAGCAUGGUGGAAAAGAUGAUGUAUGACCAGAGACAGAAGUCCAUGGGGCUGCCAAUCUCAGACGAACAGAAGAAACAGGAGAUUUUGAAGAAGUUCAUGGGUCAGCAUCUGGAGAUGGAUUUUUCCAAGGCCAAAUUCGACUAGCCUGUGUUUUUUUCCUCCUUCAACUCUUGGGGCUGAGCUACAACCAUCCAACUUUCUUUCCCACUCUUCUCUGGCCCUUGUGGGCCUCAGGGCUUGGGGUAGGCAUGGGACUGGCCCAGGCACACAGGUCCCAGGGCAUCAGGAGAAAGGCUGGGGCUUGGGGUCUUGUCUUCCCCAGUGGCCUACUGUUACACAUUAAAGCAAUUUGCCCAGC